UCAAACUCUCUUCUCCCUCACUGAUCUCUUCUUCCUCCGACCGAACUCUCCCUCUCUCUCCAUUCCCUUCUAACCACUGAACCCUCCCUCUCAUGGAUCUCUUCUCCUUCUUCCUCCUCUCUUCCACUGAACCCUAGACCACCGAACCCUCUUCUCCUCUCUCUCUAAGAUGCUAUCAUUCUCUCCUUUCUCCCUCACUCCCUCAAUCUCUCACCACCAAACCUCCAUGAAACAAAAAGAAACAUCUCUCCUAUCCCUCAUGGCCCCUUUCCCCUAACCACCAAACUGUCACUCUAUUCUCUCCACUCUUCCCACUGAAUCCUAGUUUCCCAACCUCCAUCUUCUUCCUCCUCCCAUCAACAACCAACCUCCAUGAACCCUAGCCGUUGAAUCUACCUCCAUCUUCCUCCCAAUCUUUCUUUUCUCAAAAAAAAAAAGAAAGAAAAUGUGCGCUGCUAUCAUUUCGGCUAGAAGAGAAGGAGAAGGAAGAAAAAGAGAGAAGAUGCAAGGAAGAAGGCCGCGGGUCAGCCCUCCACCAUUCUCAUCCAAGUAAGGUAAAAACCCUUCCCACUCUCUCAAUCUCUCACCGAAUCUCUCCCUCCUCCAGGAAACCCUUACCACCAAGUCUCACCUUCAUCAUCUUCUUCCUCUUCCUUGUACAAUAAACCCCAAAAAUUGCAUCUCUCUUCCCCUCACCUAAACCAAGAUCCCCAAGCUCUCAUCUCCUUCUUCACAAACCAAAACCCUCACCGAAAGCAUCCUCCAAGAAUAACCCGAGCCUCCAUCUCUCAAACUCUCAUCUUCCUUCCAAUAGUCUAGCUGAAACUAUCCUCCAUCAUCAUUCAAUCCAAAAAAAAGAAAAGCCUCAAAGCAGCCUUGGAGAAGUAGCCCUCUACCCAUUCGAUUCAAGCAAGGAUCAACCUCAAAAAGAGGUAUCAACAAUUUCAAUCACUUAUCUUGUAGCAUUUGUCAAAGGGUCACAAAGAGGUGAGUUGUUCACCUCAUCAUUUUUUAUUUAUUUUUAUUUUUAUUUUUCUUUUUCUUUUUCUUUUUUAUUCUUUUUUGUUUUGUAUCUUCUUUUGGUUUUUACUCAUUUCUAGGUAACCUUUUGUUUCAGCAUUGCGUAUGCCUUCUUUGAGUUAGUUUCAUAUUGGUUAUAAGAAGUAUUAGCAUGGUUUGUUAAUCAAUUCUCUUGAAUACUUUAUGUCUUUUAGUGUUUAUGUAGUUUGAUUCGAAUCAAUUUCAGCAUUUUAAUUUAUUCAUUUUAAUAGCUUUUCAAUUCAUUCUAGUCUAGGAUAAACGGUUAUGCUUAUUGGAAUUAUUUGCUUGUUUGUUUGUUUAUUCUCCAAAAUUCUAUUAAUGUUCUAAGUAGUUUCAUAUUUUGACUUGGUUUAUUUUGUAGAUUGGGUGAUGUUUGGCAUUUUCUUUUGUUAAUCUCUUAGUACUUAGGUGUAUAAAUCAUCAUAGAUAUUUGUUAAUUGUUUUGGAUAAUAAUCCAAUGUUCUUUUAGUAUUUCUUCAAGCAGAAUUGGUAUCAUUGCUGAAAUCUUUCAAUUUCAUAAUGUUCCAAUUCAAUUUUGUAUAGUUCGGUGGAUUGUGCACAUUGGAAUUAAGUGUGGAAUGUUAGAACAUAGUGUUUUUUUAGCUUCCUAAUUUAUGUUAAAUUUGAACUAUUAUUAUUUGUGUUUUUGCUUCUUUAUUCACUUUUAAUCUUAGGUUGGGAGUUGCCUUAUAUGAGGUUGUUUGUAGGGGAUUACCUCUCUUAUGGUUUGGCCCAUUCCAUUUUCUUAGUCAGAGUGAGAGGAACCUUGGGUAAAGAGGGAGCAUGACAUGUAGUUGUCAACUCCUUUGCUCCUCUAAGGGUUUCUCUCACCCAAACGGGGAAUGAGAAGGUUAAAUCAUUUGGGAAGCAACACCACAAUGACCAUUGUCUUUAGUAUGUAAACUCACUAACAUUCUUGUUGGCUUAAACCUUAUUUUCAUUUGAUUAGGGGAGUGGUACUACAUGUUGAAUAUGGGAGAGGGGUGCUUAACACCUUCCCUCUCUCCCCUAAAAGGUACUUAGAAUAACUUUAAUUUGGUACAUUAGAGUCUUGUUUUGUUUCUUGAACUUGGGAGGCCCAUCACUCCCAUAUUCUUUUCUUUGAUGGGUGGCGACUCUAUAUUUCAGCCAUGAAGUGGACCCCAAUUUCAAUUUGGAUGUUCACAGGGACCAAAGUGACACUAGGCCCAAAGUGACACUAAUCGAGAAUUUCCCUUUGUUAUAUUUUAACUUUUGUCUUUUUAAAAUCGAGAUAUACCUCUCAACUCUCCUUUUUCCCUUUUGAUUUUUAGUAUUCCUAAAAUAAUGAAAUCCUAACUCCCUAAGCUCUUGCUUUCCUCCCUCUCAUCUCUUGCUCUCCUCCAAUCCUCCCUGUCAGCCCUAGUUUGUCGGCGGGCAUCGAUAAUGGCAAGUCGGCAACCUCCCCACUCUAGUUAUCCCAUCUCUCUCUAAUCACUAAGGCCACCAGUUCUCCCAACCUCUAUAUUUGUUCAGGGCUUCAAAGUUCAUGCAAUUUAUGAUGAACAUGAAGGUAUUCAUGCAAGCUCUUACAAUCUAUCGUCCCAUCUCGUUUCGCCCUCCAACGAGCAGCGACCCAUGCUCCCGCCGCUUUGUCAUUUGCUGUUCAAGUUCAGAUUUUUAUAUUCAACUACCUCUACCUGAACUUGGACAACGGACGAGAGAGCUGCAGGAGCACUAGUUGCUACUCAUUGGAGGGUGAAACAGGAUGAGAUGACAUACUUGAGGAGAUUGCCUAAAUGCUUACGCUAUAUUGUUGUUUAUAUUUGUCAUCGAUUACUUGAGGUCUUGAAACUAUUUUAGAUUUUUAGGUUUGAGAUUUUUUUUGGCAUAAAUAACACCAUAACAGAAUAUUUGGACCA